AAAAGUUGCAAAAGAAGAAGGGCAAGAAGAACUAAGUAAACUUCUAAAGUACUUUCUUUUACGAAAGAUUUUUAAGAAAAAAAAAAAAAAAAAAAAAAAAUAA
rnacentral:ribozyme from 13 species